GACGAACGCUGGCGGCGUGCUUAACACAUGCAAGUCGAACGGAAAGGCCCUGCUUUUGUGGGGUGCUCGAGUGGCGAACGGGUGAGUAACACGUGAGUAACCUGCCCUUGACUUUGGGAUAACUUCAGGAAACUGGGGCUAAUACCGGAUAGGAGCUCCUGCUGCAUGGUGGGGGUUGGAAAGUUUCGGCGGUUGGGGAUGGACUCGCGGCUUAUCAGCUUGUUGGUGGGGUAGUGGCUUACCAAGGCUUUGACGGGUAGCCGGCCUGAGAGGGUGACCGGCCACAUGGGAACUGGGAUACGGCCCGAACCCCAACGGGGGGAAGCGGUGGGAAUAUUGCACAAUGGGCGGAAGCCUGAUGCAGCAACGCCGCGUGCGGGAUGACGGCCUUCGGGUUGUAAACCGCUUUCGCCUGUGACGAAGCGUGAGUGACGGUAAUGGGUAAAGAAGCACCGGCUAACUACGUG
rnacentral:rRNA from 1 species